ensembl:lncRNA
AGUCUACAGGGGAGCUGAGCGCAAGUAUGUUGAAGACUCCAGUAGGACUACGUCUGAACUUCUGCUUGGAUGCAGGCACGCUUGCGGAUAACAAACAUUCCGCUGAGAUUUCUUUCUUUUGAGGAUCUUACUUGAGAGAACUUUCACGCCGUGGAAACUCAUCAAAGGACAUCGGACUUUUAAUGUUGCAGCGGCUUUGAGGAAGCCUCGGAAUAGUUGAGAAUUCCGUUUAAUACUGUUAAAUGCGGAGAUACUGGGAAAGAAGGUGAAUGCAGUGGAGAGGAAAGCCACAACACCAUGGUCUGUGUUGAUCUUCAGUGGGUGGCACAUCACAAUGUGGCUGGUUUUGUCUACAGCUUUUGGUAGUGCUGCCAGGUGCCUCGAGCAGCCUGCUUGUCCCAGUUCCAUGUGGUCGAAUUUCAGCUGUAGUACAUCAGUACAUGUCUUUCUACCUCUUUUUUUGAAAAAGUUCAUCAUUUACUAUUCCUCCUUUUCCAUAAACAUCGAAAUGAAGUGGUCAGUCAUAGUCACGUGGCAAUUUAAGCAGCAUGUCACAGAGGCUGCUUGGUUGCUGUAAAUGCCUCCUCGGCCUUUUGGGUCCAUGUGAGCAAUGCAGUAAGGUUCCUGUGGUCUGCCUCUGCAACAAGGUCCCUGAGUGGCUGUGUGAGGUCAACGUAGUUAGAUAUGUGAUUCCUGCCGUAUCCAGUAUGGCUAAGGAAGGAAAGCGUCUAAUCGACCUUUGUGGGCUUUCCAUGGGAGAAGAUAGUGGUCCUCUGUGUGUUUGUCAUAAUGAGGCAGCAGAAAUCAUGCGUCCCAAGAAAGUCACAGAGCGUCUGCCAACUUGAUUCUUUUCCCUCUUAACUUUGUAACCACAGUGCACCAGGAACGUGAGCAGUCUGUGUGUUGCAGUUAGUGAGGUCUCAGCAGUUGGAGUGGCCAAGAGCAAAUCAUCAACAUACUGGAUAAGAAUUACCCAUCGGGUAGUUAGAGAGAUGCCAGGUCUGUUUUCAGGGCUGCAUUGAAGAGCCCAGGGCUGUCCCAGAAGCCUAGUGGGAAAUGGGUGUAGGUGUACCUAUACCCUUUGUAGGUGAAUGCGAACAGGUCUUGGGACUCGAGCUCCAGUGGCAGGCAGAAGAAGGCAUUGGCCAGAUCAAUGACAGUGGAAAAAACUUCUGUGAUGAAUUCAGGUUCUGGAGAAGCAGAUAGUGGUCUGGGACAGGAUAUCCUGCAGCCAGUGUAGCGUUGUUUACUUCUCUGAAAUCCUGCACCAUUCGCCAGCCUUUGUUCUCAGCUUUAGGGACGGGGAGGAUUGGUGUGUUCCAAGGAGAUGUGCAGGAUCGGAGGACCCUCGCAUUGAGUAGGCCAGUAAGGGUAUCUUUGAUCCCCAGUUCUUGUUUUGGCUUGAGCCGGUACUGUCACUUCCGAAUAGGAGCGUGGCCUGUUACUGGCAUUACAGUGACAGGGUGGUUUGGAAUCAACCCAAUGUCAAAAGGGCCAGUUGUCAAGACUGAGACCGGAACAGAGUCGAGCAUGUCAGCAGCGUCAGGGUGGUCGGAGUGUUCUCUUCCGUGGUCCCUUUCGAGCUGAGCCUCCAGUACUCCCUCUUCUGCACCAUAGUGGGAAAUCCUCAACAUAGUGCUUGGAAUAGCAUACAUGUUGCAGUUUGUGCCCAAUUGAGAUCCAGCCCCCUCUUUACCAUGGGUCCCAAUGAGCAGGCCUCAUGUCCAAUCCUCGAUGUGAGCGUGAUGUGAGGGAUUGAGUCAGCUUGUAGCCGAUACAGGACAGCUGUUCGUCAUCCAUUAGGCAUUGAGCAGCUACCGUCUCUCUUCCCACAAAAAUGUCGUUGAUCUUGAUCUGUUCUUUGCAACUUUCCUGUUGUUUCUCCC